GGUAGCGUGGCCGAGCGGUCUGAGGCGCUAGAUUAAGGCUUCAGUCUCUUUAAGGUGUGGGCUUGAAUCCCACCGCUGCCA
rnacentral:tRNA from 1 species